ACGUUUCCAUUCUUGAAUAUUAAUCUUAAGCUUGUCUUAAUUUAAAUUUAAACUUUCAUAUGGUAUUUCAGGUCUAUGGGUCCAAGCCAUAGAUAUUGUAGUGUUUGUUGGAACUGGCUGCAAAAAUGUGUCCCCCAAUAUUGUAGGGGGCCUGCGAUAUGCUUGAGGGGGAACUUAAUCUGACACUUUAGAUCUGUUCAGUUAUAUGUGAUCGAGAUACUAAUCAAGAACACAAAUAUAUACAUCAACUGCUGACAACGCGCUGAAAUUAGAGAAAAGAGGAUAUCGUGGAUGGCUUGCAAAACGGCUGAACCAUGAUAUGAUUGGUGUUCAUAAGUACAUCGAUCAACAUCAACAAGAAGUUAGGGUAUACAUGGGAUAUUUUGAAGUUGCAUUCGUAUUAUUUCAGUUUUAUAAACAUGGAUAUUUUGAAAUUUCAUUUGUAUUAUUUCAGUUUUAUAAUAGUUGGUUAAGUUUUUGGAUGUAUACAUUAGUGUGAUGUUUCUUGCAUGUAGCCGGUGGAGCUACCGUCAUAGUGGUGACAUGGAGGGUGAGUGGUUGGUAAAGUGUUGAAUAUUGUAUUUUUGGUUAUCAAGGAGUGACAUGUUUGAUUCGAGCUGCUCGAGAAGGGCCUCAUCAUGUGACUGGGGUGUUAAUUGUAAUUUCGGAUAAUAUUACACACAUAUUUUUGUUAUGGUUAUGUCAAUGUACACUUUUUUUCA